UACGUAGGGGGCAAGCGUUGUCCGGAUUUAUUGGGCGUAAAGAGCGUGUAGGCGGCCAGGGAGGUCCGUUGUGAAAACUCGAGGCUCAACCUCGAGACGCCGAUGGAAACCCCCUGGCUAGAGUCCGGAAGAGGAGAGUGGAAUUCCUGGUGUAGCGGUGAAAUGCGCAGAUAUCAGGAAGAACACCGGUGGCGAAGGCGGUGAUCUGGGCCGGCACUGACGCUGAGGAGCGAAAGCGUGGGUAGCAAACGGG
rnacentral:rRNA from 1 species